rnacentral:rRNA from 1 species
UACGUAGGGUGCAAGCGUUAAUCGGAAUUACUGGGCGUAAAGCGUGCGCAGGCGGUUUUGUAAGUCAGAUGUGAAAUCCCCGGGCUUAACCUGGGAACUGCGCUUGUAACUGGCAAGCUAGAGUGUGGCAGAGGGGGGUGGAAUUCCACGUGUAGCAGUGAAAUGCGUAGAGAUGUGGAGGAACACCGAUGGCGAAGGCAGCCCCCUGGGCUAACACUGACGCUCAUGCACGAAAGCGUGGGGAGCAAACAGG